rnacentral:lncRNA from 1 species
GUUAACUUUCAUGUUGGAAAUAUUUUGUGGGUUCUUGAGAAAUUGUGCAUGAUUAUUUUUAUUUGCUUCAUUUGGGAUCCAUAUUUAAUUUGCUGAAUAAUCACACCAAGGAAUAAAACUUGUGUGGUUAAAUGGAGCACUGCAUUUAGAGAAGCAUUGUUGCUUUCUCUUUGCUUCUCCAUGAGAUGAUAUUAACCUGCCUUUGAGUUCUUAAAGGCAAAGAAGUAGCAGUCAUUUCAUGCCUGCUGUGGAACGUUUAACAGACAUACAUAAAAAUCUGCCAGUUGUACAUUGGCUGUUUUUCAGGCCCAUGUGAUUUCAAACUCCUGGAGCCUUCUAAAACGAUCCGGCUUGGCCCGAGGUUCUGGGCAUUAUACCCUUCUAAUCUGAGUCUAUCU